rfam:Aedes aegypti strain Liverpool supercont1.268 genomic scaffold, whole genome shotgun sequence.
GGCUCGGUAGCUUAGUUGGUAAAGCGCUCGUCUAGCAUACAAGAGUCCUGGGUUCAAUCCCAGCCGAGCAC